CCUAACCCUACAUCUCUUUCUAUCACUCUCUAUUAGCCGCACCUUCUCUCUCUCAGCCUUCUCUCACUCUCAGCCUCUCCCUCACAUCGUCUCUCUCAACCUCCCUCUAGUGUCUCUCUCUCACACGACAAGGAAGCCAGGCGGGGCUCUCUCACAUGGUCUCCGCCUCUCCCUCACAUCGUCUCUCUCAACCUCCCUCUAGUGUCUCUCUCUCACACGACAAGGAAGCCAGGCGGGGCUCUCUCACAUGGUCUCCCUCUCUCUCUCACCGAUGGUGGUGGGGCUUCGGGGUCGGCGACGUGUGGUGGACGUGAGGCUUUGCGACAUCGUUGUUUGAGCUCGUUUGACAGCAUUACCAAAAUGAAGGGUGAUACUGGUUCUCAUUGGAGAGGUGGCUCGUGAAGGGUGGGGUUGUUUGUGGUGGUGGCGAGUUGCAUCAUUUUUGUUGUUUUUGUUACAUCUUAGAACUGAAAUUAUGUAUAAAGUAUAAUAUUAGUGUGAUAAAUGGUAUAUCUGAUUUUGUUGUAAAUAUUGUAUAUGUGAGUUUAUUUCUGAAACCUAGUUUGAUAUAUGGCAUUUUGUAACUUAAUGUUGUUUUGGAAUGGGUAAAUGUCCCGUUUUUCAUUUUA